rnacentral:rRNA from 1 species
UUGAACGCUGGCGGCAUGCCUUACACAUGCAAGUCGAACGGUAACAGGUCUUCGGAUGCUGACGAGUGGCGAACGGGUGAGUAAUACAUCGGAACGUGCCCGAUCGUGGGGGAUAACGGAGCGAAAGCUUUGCUAAUACCGCAUACGAUCUACGGAUGAAAGCGGGGGAUCGCAAGACCUCGCGCGAGUGGAGCGGCCGAUAUCAGAUUAGCUAGUUGGUGGGGUAAAGGCCCACCAAGGCGACGAUCUGUAGCUGGUCUGAGAGGACGACCAGCCACACUGGGACUGAGACACGGCCCAGACUCCUACGGGAGGCAGCAGUGGGGAAUUUUGGACAAUGGGCGAAAGCCUGAUCCAGCAAUGCCGCGUGCAGGAUGAAGGCCUUCGGGUUGUAAACUGCUUUUGUACGGAGCGAAAAGGUCUGCCCUAAUACGGUGGGCUCAUGACGGUACCGUAAGAAUAAGCACCGGCUAACUACGU